rnacentral:ncRNA from 2 species
AUGUUAUCAAGAAAGGUGGAGGGAUUAGACCCAUUGAAGCCUUAGCAACCCUUUAGAAAUAAAGAAGGUGCUAAAUUCUACUCUUUUAAAUUGUUUAAUUUAAAAGGAUAGAUAACAA